GGACAAACAUACAGCAGUCUGGUCUGGGUUCCCCAUCCAGGAGCUCGCAGCUGUCAGCCCAGUCCUAGAAUGGACCUUGGCCUCCUUUACUUGUAUCCUCCGCGAGGCGCUCCGCUUCUGAUGAACUGGGCUCCCCUCACCGCAGUGCUUCUGGAAAGCUUGAGGCUUCACCACUUGGCUGCAGUGGCUACACACAACCAAAUAGAAGUCGUCAUGGGCAGGGCAGUGCCCGAAGAUGGACAUGUCUGCAAUGACAGAAGCCCUUAUCACUGGGGCUGGGGAUCCCAGGGUUGCCCUGUCAGAUCAGAGAGCACUUCCCCCCCCAACUCAGAAGCCACUUCUCCCUCCCCAGCUGACACGACAGGCUUUAUGCUGCAUGCUGUCAGCUUCUAGAGCUCAACCUAAGAACGUGGGCCCCGUCAGCCCCUGCAGGAGAAACACAGCUCAGAAGGACCACCCCCGCCACAGAAGCCCCAUCUCCUACCCAACCAGCACCGGCAGCCGAGCCCUAGGAAGUCCACCCUCCCUAACAAGCUCCUGGUGCUCAGGACCACUUGGAGAGC